rnacentral:rRNA from 1 species
ACCCGCUGAAUUUAAGCAUAUUAUUAAGCGGUGUGAAAAGAAAUCAAAUGAGAUUGGAUUAGUAGUGGCGAACGAAGAUCCAAGAAAAACAAGAUCAAAGGAAAAGAGGUAGUUGAGAAGUUUAUUUUCUUGGUUAUCUGAUGCUCCUUUUGAGUUAUAUGAAAGUGCGGAAAAGAAAAAGCCUCCAUUACAAUUAUUGAAUUUUUGAAGUUUAGUUGGAAAACUACGCCAAAGAAGGUGAAAGCCCUGUAAAAACUCAUAUAGUAAUUAGGAGGACAUAUAUAAAUCGUUUUUAACUCUAGAGUCGCAUUGGUUGGGAAUCCAAUGUUAAAAUGGGAGGUAUACUUCUUCUAAAUCUAAAUAUGAGACUGAGACCGAUAGAGAAAAAGUACUGCGAAGGAACGUUGAAAAGAAUUUCGAAAGAAAAAGUACAAAAAGAACAAUGAAAUGGAGAGGAGGGAAUAGAAUGAAAGUGGAAGGGUUAA